AGCAGAGACCAUACGUCUUCUCUACUGACUGGGUGUGCAAGUGCUAGACACGAGGAAGGCCGGGCCUCCAGGGGCCCUGUCAGGAAAUGGCUGGGCCCCUGGGGUAUCCUUGCCCAGGUCUGUGAGUGACAUGGGUAAGAAGUUGGAUGACAGCAGUUCACACAACUCUCUGGAGCCUGAAGGCAAACCUAGCUACCCCAGAGGGCAGGUGCUGCCUAGGUCAGACCCUCAAAACAAAGGAGGCCUAGGUACUUUCGCCAUUCCAGAACAAUGUGGUCUCGGCGCUCAGCAGCUUCACGUCAAUCGCUUCCAGUUCUGACUUGAUCAGCGGGAACUCCACAUCCUUCACCGUCGUCUUUAUCUGCAGGAGAAAUGGCGUGGAGUUAACGGUUGAACCUGAGAGUGGGGCAGGCACAGGAGCUGCCAGAGGUACCCCAUGCCUACUGUUGACUUAGAGGCCAUUUCUGCUGCCAGGGCAAAAUGUCCUUGAGGCUAAUCAGUGCCUGGGACUCUAAUCAGUACGUGGCAGCUGUGUCAGGCCUCCAGGUCUGAGGGGCCAGAGAGUCAAGGGAUUCUUGAACCAACAGCUGAAGGUGGUGGUUUCUCUCCAGCCCCACACACAGCUUCCUCCGCACCAGCUGGGCAACUUGCCAUUCCCAUCUGGGUUCCAGAAGGUGCACCUCCCCGGAUUUCACAAAGCAAUGGAAGCGAUGUGGGGUGACGCCAAUACUACCCCAAAGCUUGUGGAGUAUUAGCCAGAGCCCAACCAAGAUGGUGCCUCCAGUGGCGGCGCUUUGGGCCAUCACCAUCUCACAGCCUCUGACACUUGGGAGCAGCUUGAGGCACGUUUGAGUGCACAGCACAUGUCCCUGCCUUCGACUGCACCGGCUCACCUCAUUGUACCAGCCGACAAUGAGCUCCAGGUUGCCUACAAACUUCCGGAAGGUUUCGUUCUCCGAGAAGAGCUUCUCCGCGCUCUCUGGAAUCUCUUUCUGCUGCUGGAAGUUCAAAUAUUUCACUUCUCUCAGGACUGCCACUAACUAAAGAAAGAGCAGGGAGCCCAUCAGAAGGUGACCUCAACUGUGGGUCCCCGCUGCCCCUGGCUUCUCGCUGUCAAAGAACUUCAAGGUGGGUGGGUGGAUGGGAUGCGGUGCUUGCUGGUGGGCUCUGGGUGGCUUCUUUACCCUAUGAGAUGGAUCUGAGCCAGGGAGAGCUUGUCAUCAUCAUCGUGGGCCGGUGAUGUCAACCGUCUCUUAUCUCCAUCCCCCACCCCCUCAACCUGGACCCUUGAGCGGUUUCCUCAGGCGCUUCCCCUCUUUCUUCUUCUUUCUCUCUUCCCUCACACUUUGUCUGACCCAGGGGAUUGACGAGGCAGCCAACAGUGCUGUCCCCAAAGCUAUUCUCAUCAAGACUUUGGUGCCUUCUUGCAAGGCUUGGCCCAGGUCUGAAAAUUCCAUCUGCCCUGUUCCCCCGGCCCCGUGGUGACUCCCUCAUCAUCUUCCCUCCUCAUUCCUUUGCCAGGGGCACCUGGCAUCACCUUUUUGCCUUACCAACUGGUUAUUGUCUCUGUACCCCCGACCCCACCCCCUUAUCGGGGAAGCGCCAGGAGGGUAGGACGGAGCCUGGACUGACCUCAGCAGUGUGUGACAAGCGCACACAUGCAUAGCAAUGACCAGCCUGUAUGUUCUGAAGGGAGGAGUGGGUUUUGAGAAAAGAAAAGGUUUUAACAAACCGUCCUGCGGUCCCCUCCCUGCCUUCCUGGUGUCACAUGGCUGGACUGGAUAGGGUCAUGGAAGACAGGGCACCAUCUUACAUUUACAUCGGAACCGUCUGGGUUUAGCCCUGGAAUGUUCCACCCUGGCUACCCAGCCCGUCUCUCUGGCUCAUGUAGAGACUUUAAUCUGCAAAUUUAUGCUUUCAUUUGGGAUCAUGGGAAAUGCAGACAGAGCUCCAAAAAGACAGCAGAAGCCUGCAACCCCAGCUGCUCGGAGAUCUAUCCGAGGCGGGGUGAGCCAGACUCUGUCUCACAAUAAGUAAAAGGUCUGGGUGUGUAGCUCGGUGGUAGCACAUGUGCCUGGUAUGUGUAAGGUCCUGGAUUUGGUCAGAUCAAAUCUAUGAAAAUAAAGACUGUCUUAAAGCCCGUCCCCCUGGUCGGGAUCAUGG
ensembl:antisense Gm11738 predicted gene 11738